rnacentral:rRNA from 1 species
AAUAGAUACCCGGGUAGCCCUAGCCGUAAACGAUACUCGCUAGGUGUCGGCCACGGUGCGACCGUUGUCGGUGCCGUAGGGAAGCCGUGAAGCGAGCCACCUGGGAAGUACGGCCGCAAGGCUGAAACUUAAAGGAAUUGGCGGGGGAGCACCACAACGGGUGGAGCUUGCGGUUUAAUUGGAUUCAACGCCGGAAAUCUUACCGGGACCGACAGCAAUAUGAAGGCCAGGCUGAAGACUUUGCCGGAUUAGCUGAGAGGUGGUGCAUGGCCGUCGUCAGUUCGUACUGUGAAGCAUCCUGUUAAGUCAGGCAACGAGCGAGACCCACGCCCACAGUUGCCAGCGUACUCUCUGGAGUGACGGGUACACUGUGGGGACCGCCGCUGCUAAAGCGGAGGAAGGAAUGGGCAACGGUAGGUCAGUAUGCCCCGAAUAUCCCGGGCUACACGCGAGCUACAAUGGUUGGUACAAUGGGUAUCUACCCGAAAGGGGACGGGAAUCUCCUAAAACCAAUCUUAGUUCGGAUUGAGGGCUGCAACUCGCCCUCA